AGUCCAUGAUAUGGGCAAAGCCUUAACAUAUCCUUGAAUCUCUCGCAAGCUUCGAAAAGUGAUUCGUUGUCUUUUUGGGUAAAUCCAUUGAUUUGGCCUCUUAGCAU